CUACGUGCCAGCAGCCGCGGUAAUACGUAGGUCCCGAGCGUUAUCCGGAUUUAUUGGGCGUAAAGCGAGCGCAGGCGGUUAGAUAAGUCUGAAGUUAAAGGCUGUGGCUUAACCAUAGUACGCUUUGGAAACUGUUUAACUUGAGUGCAGAAGGGGAGAGUGGAAUUCCAUGUGUAGCGGUGAAAUGCGUAGAGAUGUGGAGGAAUACCGAAGGCGAAGGCAGCCCCUUGGGAAUGUACUGACGCUCAUGUGCGAAAGCGUGGGGAGCAAACAGGAUUAGAUACCCUGGUAGUCCACGCUGUAAACGAUGUCGAUUUGGGGGUUGAGCUUUAAGCUUGGCGCCCGUAGCUAACGUGAUAAAUCGACCGCCUGGGGAGUACGGCCGCAAGGUUAAAACUCAAAUGAAUUGACGGGGGCCCGCACAAGCGGUGGAGCAUGUGGUUUAAUUCGAUGCAACGCGAAGAACCUUACCAGGUCUUGACAUCCCUCUGACCGCUCUAGAGAUAGAGUUUUC
rnacentral:rRNA from 1 species